GUGGGGAAUAUUGGACAAUGGGCGCAAGCCUGAUCCAGCAAUGCCGCGUGUGUGAAGAAGGCCUGAGGGUUGUAAAGCACUUUCGUUGGGGAAGAAGGGAAUGUGUUUAAGAGAUGCAUUUUUUGACGGUACCCGAAGAAGAAGCACUGGCUAACUCUGUGCCAGCAGCCGCGGUAAUACAGAGGGUGCAAGCGUUAAUCGGAAUGACUGGGCGUAAAGGGCAUGUAGGUGGCUAUUUAAGUUGACUGUGAAAUUUCUGGGCUUAACCUGGGAGCUGCAGUCAAGACUGGGUAGCUAGAGUCUGGGAGAGGGAAGUGGAAUUUCCGGUGUAGCGGUGAAAUGCGUAGAUAUCGGAAAGAACAUCAAUGGCGAAGGCAACUUUCUGGCCUAAGACUGACACUGAGGUGCGAAAGCGUGGGGAGCAAACAGG
rnacentral:rRNA from 1 species